CCUACGGGUGGCUGCAGUGGGGAAUAUUGGACAAUGGGGGCAACCCUGAUCCAGCCAUGCCGCGUGUGUGAAGAAGGCCCUCGGGUUGUAAAGCACUUUCAGUGAGGAAGAACGCCUGGUGGUUAAUACCCAUCAGGAAAGACAUCACUCACAGAAGAAGCACCGGCUAACUCCGUGCCAGCAGCCGCGGUAAUACGGAGGGUGCGAGCGUUAAUCGGAAUUACUGGGCGUAAAGCGCGCGUAGGUGGCUUGAUAAGCCGGUUGUGAAAGCCCCGGGCUCAACCUGGGAACGGCAUCCGGAACUGUCAAGCUAGAGUGCAGGAGAGGAAGGUAGAAUUCCCGGUGUAGCGGUGAAAUGCGUAGAGAUCGGGAGGAAUACCAGUGGCGAAGGCGGCCUUCUGGACUGACACUGACACUGAGGUGCGAAAGCGUGGGUAGCAAACAGGAUUAGAUACUCUAGCAGUC
rnacentral:rRNA from 1 species